AUCUCUGUAAAAUAAUCAUUUUUUUAACUAGCAGGGCAGUGAAAUCUUUGCUUUGUGCUAAAGUCAACAGUGACUGAGUUUGAGCUCAAAUAAAUGCCGUGAUGUCUGCAGCCCUUUGCAGAAGGCAGCAGGCAUUAAAGCUUCCACAAUGGGCUCCUGCAUGUGUUGGGCUUCACAACAAGCACCGUUUUGCACAGGGCUCUGCUGACUGAAGUGAUCCCGGCGGGCCGAGCGCGGCUGAGGAAGGAGCGGCAGCCUGGCAGGGAAGAUGGGAUCGCGGCGGGGAAGAGCUCCACUGAUGCUGCACACACUCAAACGCAAACACACUCCAGCGCUCACACAAUGUCCCUCUCAGCCGUGGCUUGUGACCGGUCCACGGCAUUGGCCAGAAGACCCGUUGAUGAGCGUGAAAUGAGUCUGGGGCUCAUUGACAGUUCAAGAUGGAGAGCAAACUGAGAUUAGACCGGGUUAAUUAAUUGUGGCCUUGGCAAAAUGUCUUCCCAUCCCGUGGAAGACUUGCUCUGUUUAUUAUCUUCCUGCCAAUCACUACCUAAAUGACAUUUUCAAACUUUAAUCAGUGCUUUCCAUACAUUCAUUUACUCGUGGCGGACAUAUUAUUUUCCACAGAGUUUGG